UCCCGCUUAGCUCAGUUGGUAGAGCGCGUCACUAGUACAAUAGGCGGAUCGCCUGGGUAAUGACGAGGUCAGUCGUUCAAGUCGGCUAGUGGGAA